GGUCAAUUGGACCUGUUUUGAGUGUGUUAUGGUCAUCCCAAGGACUGCUGUUCAUAUGGUCAAAAAUCUGGGUUGCAAGGUUGCUAAUCCAGAUUUGGUCAUUUUUAAGGUCAGUUUCUAGGCAGAAUUUUGGCAACAUUUCUACAUGAAAGUUGGCCUAUUUGGUGUCUAGUUUCACCCCAUAUUGACCUCAUACCAAUUGGGUUCAUAGUUUGGCACUUAUGGCCUAAUUUAGAUACUGCCUUCAAUACACAACCUGCACAAAGCAUAUACACUUCCAAUUUGAUAUUUCUUCUCCUCCUCAUUACUUAAAUAUUCAAUCAAUAACACUUCCAUAUAUAUAUUGUACACAAUUCCAGCAACACUUUUGGGCAGAAUAUUCAAGUGCUUAAUGCACACAAUUCACCAUUAAGCUCAACAUUCACUUCCACCAAAAUUCAACAUAUCUCAAUGUCAAUAUUACACAUACACUUCAACAUAAUCAUACUUCAAUAUCAUUUACACUUGCUGCCCACAAUUUAACAUUAGUAUAUUUCAUUAAUAACUACAUGUUCACACACAAAUUCAUGGUUUAAUAGGCUGCCAAACAUGGCAGUUUGCCCAAAGCAUUAAGGUUCCAUUACACACCCUUAAUUCAAGCAGUACAUACACAUACUUAGAUUUUAACUUACUACUUCCUCCAUUUAAGUUAUUCAACCUUAAUUUUCAUCCAUUACAGGUAAGAAAAACUCAACUACAAUAAACUUUCAUGGCUGUCCAAAAUUGAAUAUAUCAAUAACUCAUUGAAUCCUUCAAAUUUCUUCACCAUCCAACUCAUCUCAACCUUAAUACAAACUUUAAUGAAGCAAGGGAUGAAAAACUAGCACUAACCUUUUUUGAGCUUCACCAAAACUUCAUCAAAUCCUCUUCUUUUUGCUUCCAACAUACUGCCCAAGGUGUGUGUGCAAGCUUUAAUGAAGGAACUAAGUAGAAAUGGUGGCUUGAUCAUGCACCCAUGGAGGUUGCAUGUGGGGCAUCUAUGGUGAUUUCCAUGGUGAACUCCAUUUCCCUUGGCUGGUUAUUUCUCAAGGUGGAAGAUAAUGGUUCUGCUGUCCCAAAGGAAUAUUUAAGUGUCCCAAAUUAAGAGUUAGUGGAGCACUAACUUGGAUUUUAAUGUUUAAUUAGUUAAAGUUUCCUUAUUUACUCAUUUGGCUUCAUUCUUUUACUAUUUACAUAUUGUAUCACAAUUUAAUUUUUCAUGACAUUUCUAAAGUGUAAUAUUAUUUAUUUUUAA
rnacentral:misc_RNA from 1 species